CCCUUAGAUGUCCGGGGCCGCACGCGCGCUACACUGAAGGAAUCAGCGUGGCUUUCUCCCUGACCCGAAAGGGUUGGGAAACCCGUUGAAUCUCCUUCGUGAUAGGGAUUGGGGCUUGAAAUUGUUCCCCAUGAACGAGGAAUUCCCAGUAAGCGCGAGUCAUAAGCUCGCGUUGAUUACGUCCCUGCCCUUUGUACACACCGCCCGUCGCUCCUACCGAUUGGGUGUGCUGGUGAAAUGUUCGGAUCGGCCGUUUGUCGCGGUUUCCGCGUCAUGUGGCUGAGAAGUUCAUUAAACCCGCCCACCUAGAGGAAGGAGAAGUCGUAACA
rnacentral:rRNA from 1 species